AUUUGGUUUGUGCCCGAUCCACGCCGACUCUCUCUGUCUCCCCAGCCGGACAAAAGACAAGCCGCACUCUCUCUCCUCACGCCGCGAUUUGGAGUCACCACCGCCCCUCUCCGCCCGGCUGGCGCACCGGCACCGCCAUCUGUCCUCGCAGACCGGGUCGUGGAUGGAGCUCGCUCAUCAGGAUCUCACCUCCCCCUCCCCUUUCUAAGCGCUGCACAUUCCCGUCGCCAUCGCACCUCCGAGUGGGCUCACACAUCGGCGGCGGUGGUCAGAGGAGGAUUGGGCGGGAUCUCGCCAGUCGGAGCCUAUGGAGGGUCGCCGGGUGCGUGGGUGCUCUGGAUCCGCCGGGUGCCGCCCCUCACGUCGCUCCAUCCGGCAGCCCCUCCUCCGACGACCACGCUCUCAGCGCCUCUUCUCUUACUCCCCCCAGGUGCCAGAGGAGCAACUACACGGCGAUCGCCUUAACGCCACCUCAGCGGAGGUGCUCCCCGUUGUGGAACCCCUCCUCCCACCCCAAGCCACCGCUCGCGGUCCACGCCGUCCAGAUGGAGCCGUGCACGCAUGGGUCGCUGAAGAUCCCGUGCUCAGUGCAGGCUGGGUCGCAGCCAGAUUGCUGGUUAUCGCCCUGGACCUCCUCUGUGUUAGGCUACCACCAGCAGCUCGACCUACCCCUACCCGUCCAAAAGGAGGUGCUAAGCAGACUAUGGUCAAGUGAUGCCAUUUCGUGCUUCUGCCAACUACCUGUAGCUCUCAGGUUAGUUCAUUCUACACUUAUGUAUCUAUUUGAGUUAAUUCUACUUUGUUUGUGAUGAACUGCCUUUUGCCUAAUCUUUCAUUAUCGUGGAGGCCUAAAAUUACAAUCAGAAGUAUUGCUAAAUCAGAAGUAACUCUCACUUAUUUAGGACUUAAGGCUAGCCAUUGCCGCUAGCCUAUGCUAGUUCCCAGUUCCGGGAAGUAAAUCAGAGUAUUUGUUUAGUGUCUGUCAGUAAAGACAACCAUAAUUGUUUGGUCGGUGUUUGGCUGAGCAUUAUGCUUGCACCAUUUGAAUAUAACUUACCUGUAUUAUACACACUUUUGUGCAACUUGAUGCUGUUUUAAAAAAAAUGCAAUGCAAUCCCUUUGAACCUCGGUUGCAAACAAUCCAUAUUUUAAUUAGACUUAUUAUUCCUUUCAGAAUCAACUAGGAGAGGAGCCGGUGCAGUAGCAAACAGAAAAUACCAAGCAUUAGAUAUCUGACAGAAGCUAUAUAGAAGUACACUGUUCUUGAGAGUAUCAUACAAAAUAGGAUCGUAUUUAACCCAUUUUUGAGAUGUUCUGAUAUGGAACUCAACCCACAUAAGGUUACUUUAACCAAUGGAGAGUACAUGAACGGUUCUGUAUAGUUACUAAAAGUUGAGAUAUGUUUGGGCUGCUACCUGAAAAAGCAGGUACUGAGACUGGCCCUAUGCGUAACGCCACCUACAGAAAGACUGAGCCUGUAUUUUCCUCAUCCGUGAGUGUGUCCCGAGAUCUGUUGAACAACUGGUCUGCAUCUCUAUUGUGUCCGGGCCAUUAGAGAUUGGAUUUGACACUGCUUUCGUUUACUGACCCAUCUUCGGCUCUGUUUGGGCCCCACCGAUAGCCAUGCCCCAUCUGUACAUGUUUUCGUUUUCUUCAGAACACUUGUGAUUCCUUUUUCUGUUUAUAGCCAUGUGCUAGUUUGACACUUUACUUUUAACGAGCGUAUACUCAAUGAAAUGGUUGGCGUUAGCAACAACCAGUGCAAGGUAGUCUUGUUAACUGGUUCUAAAAUUAUUACUUACUCAGGUAAGUACAUCUACAAAACAUGUGCAGAGAGUGUCUACAAAACUGUUGUUCAACCUACUUGGGACUUAGUUGGCAGAAAGCAUAUACAUAACAAUGGAUUUUCAUGGGGAUCGCAUACAAAACUGUUGUACUAGGAAAUGCAUGACGCGGCAUGGGGAUCGCCAUGAAGAACUGUCAAAUCUACAAUUGGAACAAAAAUAGUAUUUUGCAAAGAACUGGCAUCCCACCUUCCCGGAACUGGAAACUAGAACAGGCUAGCGGCGAUGGCUUUUUAUCGCUCAUAAUCGUCGAUGCCGUCCGAUACGACAUGUAGGUCACCAUGAAGAACCGUCAAAUCUGCAAUUGGAACCAAAAUAAUAUGUUGAAAAAACGAACAUAAUGAAGCAGGGCAACUUUGUAUCUGUUAUAUUUGACAGAUCAACCAAUGGCCUUUACUAAUCAGACAAAAUAUAGGCACCCUUGGGUAAGUUUACAGGUCAGUUGGAGGGCCAACAAGCAUCGACAAGCCAAUGUCCCAACAUUUUUGUGGUGAAAUGGGUAACAUAAGUAGACAGAGAAAAACGUGUUUUUGAUUUUUGGUUGAUCAGUUCAAUCGGAUCCAAGAGUCUAAAGCGAAACACUAGCAGCAUUAUAUAAUCCAAAAUGGAAGCAAAACUUCAGAUUUAAUGUUUAAGCUUAUCAACUACAAAACAUCACCAUUGCAAAUAGAAUUGGAGUAAGAGUAACAAAUUCAGCGAGGUACAAACAUUAAGGGUACAACAACAUGGCAUGUUCGCCUUUAAGGGUACAACAAUAAUAGGAAAAACAUAAGUUAACGUUGACAACUUUGCAUUAAUGAAGACGACGAGGUCGUUUGUAGGUUGUAUUGCCACCACAAGUUGAUUCAUAGUGUGUGCCCAUGCCGCACUUGCCGCAUCGAACCUUCUUCGGGGGUUUCUUUGGUUCAUCAUUUAGUGGACAAGACACCUUAUAGUGUCCAUGCUCAUUGCAUAUGCUGCAUCUGCGUCUAGCAGGAGUUUUUCCGCCGGAGCUUGGAACUUUGGACUGACGAGAUGCAGUAGCAGUUGCACUAGCGAAACGGGCUGCGAGAGGUGUCGUUGAUGCAGAUGCCAUCAAGCGAGUUGUCCGAGCUUCUGAAGUUUCCACGGGCACGGGAUCCUUGUCGAACCGGUCCUGCCCAUCAUCCCCGGAACCAUCGAAGCAAGAUUCUGGUACAUAGUUAUCUUCAGAGCUGGAGCCGUCAUUCUGAUCUGGUAGUUUCAAGCACUCACAAUCUUCAGUAAAAUGAUCUUCUGAUCCGCAAACAGAGCAUGCAUCCUUAGAUUUUUCCACCGCACGCUCAACUACCGAUUUCAUUCUCUUUGAUUUGGGGCGGCCACGCGAUGGUCUCUUCUCUGGAUACAGAGCUGUAACAUGAUCAGCAGGUUGAACAUCACUAAAGUUGGGCACAUUGGGCUUUUGUGAUGCAGCCUUGCUGUUCCCAAUCUUUGUACUUGGCUGACUAGUCUCAGAUUCUGAAGCAGCCAUGGCUUUGAGCUCUUUCUCGAGCGAGAGCAACUUCUGGACUGCGUGAUUGAAAAGCGGCACUGAUAGGUUACCUUCCUUCACCACCUGCAGUGCACGCACGUACAAAAUAUUGUGCCUGAAAGUUUUGGAAACCCCAAUAUCCGAGUCUCUCUGAUAAUUCUUGAUAUGAUCAGGUAAAAUGUCCCGGGCAUCUCUAGUCCACCGCUUCAUCACAUAAUGAGUCGGAAGGCGAAGAACACCAACAUGAAUCAUUACCUAGCGAAAUUAAAUAAUUAAUAAGGAAAAACAAAACGAGGUACAAUAUGAAUAUAUGUACUUACUCUCAGAGCGUGCCGGCAGAGAAGCCCCAUGUGCUCAUACAUGGCACACUCGCAGUUGUAAGUGUCGCUUUCUCGAUCAACCAUAACCACAUAGCUUACUUUGCACCAGUGUGCACGGCUAUCUGAGUCAACAUGUUGCACGACAACGCGGCCAUCCACAUUCUGAUCUUUCACGACGUAACUGCCUGCCUCAUACAACUCAGCAGAAAAUAACUUGAACACAGCACGAGUAUAGACCUUGGAGGCGUGACGCUCGCUGGGCACAUUGCUAUGCAACACCUUACCAUCCUACAGACCAAAAUGCAUUCAGUAAGCUAAGCACGCUAUUUUUAUUGCUAGUCAGAUAAUUUAUGAAUGUAAUUAUUUACUGUACUGUCAAGAAGAAAGAAGGAAACCUUUUUUGUAUGUGCCAUUUCAAAGUCCUCUUCUUCGCAACGAGAGGCUAUUAGUUUGUUAUACUGCAUCACAAAUCUGUUGAGCGGUGCUGAUAGUGAUACAUAAGUUUUAAGAACGUUAUUCAUGCACUCAUUCCGUUGUGUGCUUGACAUUCUGGCACAAAAGUUAGAGCUAAGAUACGGCUUGGCCCAUUUAUCCCUGCAGUGAAACACAUCCUACAUGUACCUGUUAUCCUGUAGUCCAUAGCUAGAAACCAGAAACUGCCAUCCAGAUUCAAACUCCUCGACAGUCAUCAUCUCGUUGGUUAGAUAGUUGAAAUCUAUGCGGAAUGGUGUACCUUUCUUGUACAAGGUCCCAAGUUUCUCCUUGAUGUUUUCCAUCACGUGCCAUUUGCACCAACGGUGAGCAGUAGAAGGCAUAACAUCAGCAAUCGCACGCUCCAUCUGCAAGCAUUGAUCUGCAAAAAUUUCUAGUAAGAGAUUUUGCACUGACAUGUAUGAGCAUAUUGAACAUAUAGAUGCGCGAAGCUAGCCAUUUAAAAAAAUAUAUAUACUUGUGAGAAUAGUUUUUGGUGUUUUACCGCCGUUGGCACCAAGGAAGGUUGCAAAAGCCCACUUGAAUGACUCUACAGUCUCCUCUCGCAAAACAACACAACCGAAAAGAGUAGACUGAUAAUGGUUGUUGACACCUACAAAAAGCCCAACAGGCAUCUCAUAUAAAUUGCUCUUGUAGGUUGUGUCAAAUGUCAAAACAUCACCAAACAACCAGUAAUCAGCACGGCUCUUCGAGUGGCACCACAAGAGACCAGACACUCUCCUUUCUAUGUCGGUCUUAACUGAAUAGAAAAAAUCAGGGUUCUGGGAUUGCAUUGUUGCAAAAAGCUCAAGCGUCUUGGCGAUGUCGUCCUGGCUAGCUUCAUGUGCAAUUGAUGCGCAAAGAUUUUUCAGACACCUCUUGCCGAACGGGACUUCUUCAGCACGCCCAUGGAUGUCAGCCAUGACCCCAAACACCUUGUUAACUUGCACAUUGUUUGAACGCAUAUGUUUGAUGAGAUCUCUCAUCGAAGAAUCAAUGGCAUUAUGACAUUUCCAGACUUUUUUCUCACCAACCGUUUCUGCCAGCUCGUGGUUGUGAAUCAAAACAACUCGAGAGAAAAACCAGCCAUCAUUGGAUGUCCUCUUCAGUCGAACCAUUGCUGGGCAUUUGGUCCACGCUGACCUGGUGUUUCCUACUCCCUCCGUUCCUAAAUAUUUGUCUUUCUAGAGUUUUCAACAAGUGACUACAUACGGAGCAAAAUAAGUGAAUAUACACUCUAAAAUAUGUCUAUAUACAUCCGUAUGUGGUAGUCUAUUUGAAUCUCUAAAAAGACAAAUAUUUCGGAACAGAGGGAGUACAUUGCUCCGCCCCUAGACAAACAAGUAACAACUAAUUGAUCUCGCUAAUUGAUCACACUAGAAAAAAAAGUUAAAACUCGAAUGGCACAACAAGGAUACCUCGCACGAGCAGAGGAAAUCCUGAUUGGUCUUGUAUCCUGUUUUCUUUAUCUCGUACUUGUUGCCGUAUUUAAUACCGAAACCCAUCUCCCAGGAGUAUGUGUUGUAGAACUGAUAGGCUUCUUGUUCAGUUGAAAAUAUCAUCCCUUCAGCAGGCUCAAAGACGAUGCGUGAACCUCGCUCAGCGGCUCUAUCGAAAGCUCUCCUGAUGUAGUUAGAGCCAUCUUCUUCAGGUUCUAGGCUAUGACUUUCCCCGGCCCGACCCCUGAACAAUCAUCUGGACAUUUUUCAAACAGUUUAUGAUAAAAAGAUAAUUUUUUCGGCGGAUAAAACACCUUUGGCGUCGCUGGUAGCCCUCUAAACAGCCAUCUUCAGCACGCUGCUCGCAACCAGUGUUUGUCGGAUGUGGCACAGUGAAUGGAGCGGAGGAGCGACAGCCGAAAGCAGCUUCGAUAUCGACGGCACGAACGUCCCUACUGUUUUAUGCGGAUUUUUCAGGUGGUGUCAAGAAAGUUUUCCAAGAAAGAUUAGUUAAAAUCUAUGAACAUUUUUGGUUACCUUUCGUCAGCGCAGUAUGGAUAUGAGCUGGACCCUUCGCCGUGCUGCGUGGCAGCAGAUGGCAUCGGUCGUGGAAGAGCAGAUCUUGCCGUCCCUACUGUUUUAUGCGGAUUUUUCAGGUGAUGUCAAGAAAGUUUUCCAAGAAAGAUUAGUUAAAAUCUAUGAACAUUUUUGGUUACCUUUCGUCAGCGCAGUAUGGAUAUGAGCUGGACCCUUCGCCGUGCUGCGUGGCAGCAGAUGGCAUCGGUCGUGGAAGAGCAGAUCGUUCCGACGGCCGGCCGGCCAUCCCCGGGGUGAGAUCGUAGGGAGGUUGUGUCUCACGGGCCCUUGAAAAUAUUUAGCGUGGUGUCAAAGCAGUUUCGUGAACAAAAAAUAUAUGGAGGAAAUUUUGAUGAGUUAACCUGUGAACAUCCGAGUAGCAUUCCUUCAUAGAUUCCUCCGCACAUCUUGCUCCAGCAGCAGGUGAAUGAGAAGUGUCGCUAGAGAACCCUGAUGCCAGGUUGACGGCAUCCUUGCUCCGAUUGAGCUCUCGCUGGGAAGAACAGUUCAUCCCUGAAACUGUAUCCUCAAACCCUUUCCGAUUGGCGGUUUCUGUAGGAGAGAAAUCACGUAAGAAUGUACAGCCAAUCAAAAUGAUUGCACAGGCAACAAAGCAUCAUAAGGAAACUUACUAUCAACGGCGGAGUCCUUCGAGGUGGGAAGGUCACCACAAGUUUCCGAGAUGACGCCGGAGUUCAAGUUCGAGGCCAUUGCUAAGAGCAGCUGCACUCCGUGAGCCCGUGCGGUGUUCAACCACCCAGCAAUAAUGAGAUGGGAUAGACCAAAAUGGAAUGGGGGGAAUCCUGCCUUUUCAAAUAUCAGUCUGUCAAACUUUGACGUUUUGUACAAACAGAUGGCCGCAUUGAACGAUGGUAACAGUUUGCCGUUUUUGCUAUCCACGCUUCGAAAGAUUGAGUCUGACCUUCCUAUUUGUGAAAACCGAUCACGAGACCCUGUAUUUGACCCUGCUGGUUCUCAGCUCUGACACAACAGAGCUAGCUCCACAAAAAACAUAAGCUGACAGAACUAGCUGUCAUGCAACAUCGCUAGCUACGAGAAACUAGUUCAGAGCACUAGCUGAUGUGUAACAGCGCUAACUCCAAUCGAAAACGCACCGAACUGCAGCACGCCAUUUUUUAAAUUAGAUUAGCAACUAUAAAUAGCCCAAGUUCGCAAGGAUAGAACCAGCUCCACGAACCGGUUUUUUGAUUAAUUUUUUUUGUUAGGAAGGCUUUUUGAUUAGAUUAGCAUCUGUCCGAGGACAUGGUGAACUGGGCUUGAAGAAGAGAGAGUCCAAGAGAGAGGGGCGGGAUUGGGGGUUGUGUGUUAGGCGCUCUCUAUGGGAAUGAUGUCAUAGGCUUUUUGUAGGCCUCGUAGAGCCCCCGUGACCCCUCCAACGCGCACCAAGCCAACUAGAAUAAAACAAACCGACCAUGACAGCAACGUCAUGCGGAGCAUUUUCACAAAUUUUUUUAAAAGUAAAAAAAUGCACAAUGACGGUUCAGUUUAAACAAUAUCAAUUGGUAUGAAUUCUUUGACUGGUAUGAAUUCUUUGACCAAUACAUACUGCGUCUACACAUACAAAAGAAUAACAACAAACCUAUUUGACACUAAUUCUAUGCCCUGUUCAUUUUUAUGAAAAUUUUAAGGACUUGAGCUCAUCCACUAUAGACUUGUUUUUUAUACAAUGCAAAAUGUAGGCCUUGAUCCAAGCAAGUAUUUUGAACAUUUCAAGAAACCGGCAUAAACACGUAAGACAUGUGUACAUAGUUUUCCAAGCAACGACAUGUGCACAUAGUUUUUUUAUGUAUAAGGGUGUAGGCAGUGCAACGUCCACAGUAUAGAAAAGGUUCUCGUACACAUGUAAGAGGGUGCCUUUAUGGGGGUAUGCAUGGUUCUGACAAUAUAAAAUAGAGGUUUCCAAAGAACCGGUGUGCCACCCUCCCGAAACAGGAUUAAUUUUUGGACCUGUGUCGGGCUUGCGGCGAUGGCUUUUUAUCGCUAACACUCAUCGAUGUCCUCUGAUACAACAUGAUGGUCACCACGAAGAACUGUCAAAUAUACAAUUGGAAUCGAAAUAAUAUUUCCAAAGAAUCGGCGUGCCACCACCCUGAAAUCGGAUCAAUUUUUGGAUGUGUCGGGCUAGCCACCCUCCCAGUACUGAACUAAUUUUUUGCGUGUGUGUCGGCGUAACGGCGAUGGCCUUUUAGCAUUCACACUCAUCGAAACCGUACGAUGCAACAUGGUGGUCACCAUGAAGAACUGUCAAAUAUAUAAUUGGAACCGAAAUAGUAUUUCGAAAGAAUGGGCGUGCCACCCUCCCGGUACAGAACUAAUUUUUUGCGUGUGUGUCGGCCUAGCGGCGAUGGCCUUUUAUCGUUCACACUCACUGUAGCCAUCCGAUGCAACAUGGUGGUCACUAUGAAGAACUGUCAAAUAUACAAUUGGAACCGGAAUAGUACUUCCAAAGAACCAGUGUGCCACCCUCUCGGAACCAAAUAUAUGUUUGGUUGUAUGUCGGGCUAGCGGUGAUGGCUUUUAUAUAGCUCACACUCGUCGAAGUCGUUCGAUAAGGACAGAUCCGACCAUCAACACCUGUGAGUUUCGUCUGCCGAAACAUGCCGCCGCCUCGACCACCACCCGCUGACCCCCCCCCCCCCAUCCCCCCACGCGACCGACGGAUCUGGCCAUCAGCACUUGCGAGCGUCAUCUGUCGAAAGCCACCUCAACCUCCACCUGCUGACACCUCGCCGCACCCUCGCGACACGGAUCCGGCCAUCAGCACCUACAAGCGUCAUCUGCCGAAAGCCGCCUUGCCAGUGGAACCGUGGCUCCGCGACAUGAAUCCUUGGCACGAGAGACGGAGCGGCGCAGACCUUGCUUCCACCUUCAUUGCUAAUAAUUUCUUAAUUCUUGCGAAGACCCGUUUGAUCAGACACUAGAACUGGCAUCAACUGAAUAAUUGUGUACAUUCAUCAACUCUCUUCCCUCCGACCCUACUUAUUUUCCGCCCUUCAGAUCUAUAUUCUGGAAGAACUGUUAGAAACUAAAGUGAUGCCAAAUUGUAUCGUAUUUAAUUAGAUGAGAAAGACCCGUUAGCAGGGGCAGAGCCAAGAUUUAAACAAAGACGGGGUGAAGACGUCAGUAAUAAAAGUCUAAUAAAAGAAUGUGUAUCUACAUUGCAUUCUUAUGGUAUAUAAAAAACUGUAUUGUGAUAUAAUAGAAGAAUUGCAAUUUAUAAUAUAAAAUUAAAGUACGAACUAUGACUCUAAAAACAUGAAAGGUCUCAAUAAUUUGUUCAAAACUAAAGUAUGCGAGUCUAUCAUAUCUUCUUAAUGUUUAAUUUUCUGUACUUUAGACUUUUAUACAUACCCUUCUCAUUGCCUUGAUGCCAAUGCCGCUCAUGUGGGCCGUGCGGCCUUGCAGUUGGAGCCUUCCAUCGAUGCUUGUGUUCAAAUUACACCCCUUAUUUGAUUGUAUAAAUAUGGAUUUCUUCAUUGUUUUAUACGUACAAUACAUGCUGAUUUUUGCUAAACCUCGUCACCGGCUGCUUCGACACUCGGUGAGAAGCACAUGGGUUGGCUCGUGGGUGAAGCACGAGUCACAGAGAUUUCACCUUCAUAGGAGGAUCUUCUACGAGCAGCAGGAUGCCAAAAUGAUGUUUGGCAGAGGGGCAUAUAAGAGACCACAUGACUUCUUGGUAUAGAAACCAUUGUAGGUCACAUAGAGACGCAUGGCCGGUCAUGGGCUCGUGGCACCCUCAUCCUCCUUCACCGACGAAAAUUCACUUCCCCACGCACAGAACGAGAUGGGCAUCCAGCCUUGUGCAGUACUACUGCCUCAACUCUCCCCAAAUUCUUCCAUGUGAGGUCAAGAAGCUCCAUGUCAACUCUCCUGCUAGAUGCAGCCGGGCCCGACUCUGUUCACACAGUCCACCACCGUCCCUCACCAAAUCAUGAUCCUAGCCGGCGAGCGCACUCCCGCGUCAAGAUCCAUGGUGGAUCCACAGCACGCGGAGCAGAGGCACAACGGCGAGCAGGUGGGUGGCCAGUACGUCGAGCGAUGGCGACCACCACCGCCACGGUGGAUGGUUUCUGCUGGAUUUGGCCACCAUGGCAACAUUAUCCUCUUCUGCGAGUGCCUCGUGGGCAUGUUUGCCUCCAACGAGCAGAGGACGGCCAUGAGAUGAGGGCUGCAGGCCCCCCCUCUCCCAGUGGGAAUUUUUGUUGCAUGUUGAGGAUGUGAGAGGCUGGUUUGGUGCUUUGAUUCGGUGGUCGCCAAUCUUCUCUGUGCUAAUUAGUGGUUUUUCGGUGCAAGUUUGUGCAUGGGUUAGCGCUAAGUUUUGUUUCGUAGUUUUGUACGAAUUUACAGUUAGAGUUUGUGUUUACUUGUCUCAAACUUCCUAUCAUGUAUCAAUGAACAUAUUUUGAAGAACUUUGAUGGGUGGAAAUCUGUAUGUAAUUUAGAUUUAUUCUGAAGAACUUGUUGUAUAUCAGUGAGAACCGUCGGUGAAAAUAUGAAGAAUUUCCUUGGGCUGUAUAUUGAA